CGGACGGGUGAGUAAUGUCUGGGAAACUGCCCGAUGGAGGGGGAUAACUACUGGAAACGGUAGCUAAUACCGCAUAACGUCGCAAGACCAAGAGGGGACUUCGGGCCUCUUGCCAUCGGAUGUGCCCAGAUGGGAUUAGCUAGUAGGUGGGGUAACGGCUCACCUAGGCGACGAUCCCUAGCUGGUCUGAGAGGAUGACCAGCCACACUGGAACUGAGACACGGUCCAG
rnacentral:rRNA from 1 species